GCCAGUUUUGCUCAAUGGAUAGAGCAUUGGCCUGUAGCCUGAAGGGUCACAGGUUCAAUUCCUGUCAAGGGCA
rnacentral:tRNA from 1 species